GGAACAGCCACUGGGAAGGCCCCUUUGGCAGACACACUUUGACUUGUUACCGUAAGCGUCGUAUAAAUAUACCAGCAAUGAACUUAGACACUGCUGUGGAUAACUUUUCGUUCCAUCAGGCUUUCUAUGAGGGAAUAUUGUAGCCUUGUAGAUGACGAAGAAGAAAAAUAGCUGGGUGUGAUGUGGAUACUGAUGUUCAAGUAACCUCUAAAGCUAGACAUCAAGUGAGGGUGGGGGCAGGA